rnacentral:misc_RNA from 1 species
AACGCACAUUGCGCCUCUUGGUAUUCCAGGAGGCACGCCUGUUCGAGCGCCAUUACAAACUCCAAGCUUGGCUUGAUGAUGGAGGAUGUGAGAGAUUCACACCUCUAGAACGUGUUGGCGCCGCCGGCGAACCACGAGCGUAGCAAGACGAAAGUCAUCGCAUCGUUGGAAUCGUCGGACGGUCUGCCUUGUCAUUACGACGAUCUAGUGAUGACUACAACUUACCAAAGUUUGGCCUCGGAUCAGGCGGGGAUACCCGCUGAACUUAA